GCAUAUCAAUAAGCGGAGGAAAAGAAACCAACAGGGAUUGCCCUUAGUAACGGCGAAGUGAAGCGGCAACAGCUCAAAUUUGAAAUCUGGCCCUCGGGUCCGAAGUUGUAAUUUGUAGAGGAUGCUUUUGGUGAGGUGCCUUCCGAGUUCCCUGGAACGGGACGCCAUAGAGGGUGAGAGCCCCGUCUGGUUGGACACCGAGCCUCUGUAAAGCUCCUUCGACGAGUCGAGUAGUUUGGGAAUGCUGCUCUAAAUGGGAGGUAUAUGUCUUCUAAAGCUAAAUACCGGCCAGAGACCGAUAGCGCACAAGUAGAGUGAUCGAAAGAUGAAAAGCACUUUGAAAAGAGAGUUAAAAAGUACGUGAAAUUGUUGAAAGGGAAGCGCUUAUGACCAGACUUGGGCUUGGUUGAUCAUCCUGGGUUCUCCCUGGUGCACUCUUCCAGUUCAGGCCAGCAUCAGUUCGCUGCGGGGGAUAAAAGUUUUGGGAAUGUGGCUCCCUCGGGAGUGUUAUAGCCCAUUGCAUAAUACCCUGCUCCGGACUGAGGUUCGCGCAUCUGCAAGGAUGCUGGCGUAAUGGUCAUCAGCGACCCGUCUUGAAACACGGACCAAGGAGUCGUCUUCGUAUGCGAGUGUUCGGGUGUUAAACCCCUACGCGUAAUGAAAGUGAACGCAGGUGAGAGCUUCGGCGCAUCAUCGACCGAUCCUGAUGUUCUCGGAUGGAUUUGAGUAAGAGCAUACGGGGCCGGACCCGAAAGAAGGUGAACUAUGCCUGUAUAGGGUGAAGCCAGAGGAAACUCUGGUGGAGGCUCGCAGCGGUUCUGACGUGCAAAUCGAUCGUCAAAUAUGGGCAUGGGGGCGAAAGACUAAUCGAACCUUCUAGUAGCUGGUUUCCGCGA
rnacentral:rRNA from 1 species